rnacentral:rRNA from 1 species
AUUGAACGCUGGCGGCAGGCUUAACACAUGCAAGUCGAGCGGAGUGAUGGUGCUUGCACUAUUACUUAGCGGCGGACGGGUGAGUAAUGCUUAGGAAUCUGCCAUUUAGUGGGGGACAACAUUCCGAAAGGAAUGCUAAUACCGCAUACGUCCUACGGGAGAAAGCAGGGGACCUUCGGACCUUGCGCUAAAUGAUGAGCCUAAGUCGGAUUAGCUAGUUGGUGGGGUAAAGGCCUACCAAGGCGACGAUCUGUAGCGGGUCUGAGAGGAUGAUCCGCCACACUGGGACUGAGACACGGCCCAGACUCCUACAGGAGGCAGCAGUGGGGAAUAUUGGACAAUGGGCGGAAGCCUGAUCCAGCCAUGCCGCGUGUGUGAAGAAGGCCUUUUGGUUGUAAAGCACUUUAAGCGAGGAGGAGGCUCUCCUAGCUAAUACCUAGGAAGAGUGGACGUUACUCGCAGAAUAAGCACCGGCUAACUCUGUGCCAGCCGCCGCGGUAACAC